rnacentral:rRNA from 1 species
CAGUAGUCACGAGUUUGAUCAUGGCUCAGAUUGAACGCUGGCGGCAUGCCUAACACAUGCAAGUCGAACGAGAUCUUCGGGUCUAGUGGCGCACGGGUGCGUAACGCGUGGGAAUCUGCCCUUGGGUUCGGAAUAACUUCGGGAAACUGAAGCUAAUACCGGAUGAUGACGUAAGUCCAAAGAUUUAUCGCCCAAGGAUGAGCCCGCGUAGGAUUAGCUAGUUGGUGAGGUAAAGGCUCACCAAGGCGACGAUCCUUAGCUGGUCUGAGAGGAUGAUCAGCCACACUGGGACUGAGACACGGCCCAGACUCCUACGGGAGGCAGCAGUGGGAAUAUUGGACAAUGGGCGAAAGCCUGAUCCAGCAAUGCCGCGUGAGUGAUGAAGGCCUUAGGGUUGUAAAGCUCUUUUGCCCGGGAUGAUAAUGACAGUACCGGGAGAAUAAGCUCCGGCUAACUCCGUG